AGUGAACGCUGGCGGUAGGCCUAACACAUGCAAGUCGAACGGCAGCACAGUAAGAGCUUGCUCUUACGGGUGGCGAGUGGCGGACGGGUGAGGAAUACAUCGGAAUCUACUUUUUCGUGGGGGAUAGCGUAGGGAAACUUACGCUAAUACCGCAUACGACCUACGGGUGAAAGCAGGGGAUCUUCGGACCUUGCGCGAUUGAAUGAGCCGAUGUCGGAUUAGCUAGUUGGCGGGGUAAAGGCCCACCAAGGCGACGAUCCGUAGCUGGUCUGAGAGGAUGAUCAGCCACACUGGAACUGAGACACGGUCCAGACUCCUACGAGAGGCAGCAGUGGGGAAUAUUGGACAAUGGGCGCAAGCCUGAUCCAGCCAUACCGCGUGGGUGAAGAAGGCCUUCGGGUUGUAAAGCCCUUUUGUUGGGAAAGAAAAGCAGCAGGUUAAUACCCCGCUGUUCUGACGGUACCCAAAGAAUAAGCACCGGCUAACUUCGUG
rnacentral:rRNA from 1 species